AUAUCGCGCAAUGGAGGAAGCUCUGACGCAGCGACUCCGCGUUAGCGAUGAAGGUUUUCGGAUCGUAAAGCUCUAUCCUCAUGGAAGAAUAAAGUGAUCGUACCUCAGGAGUAAGCCCCGGCUGACGACGUGCCAGCAGCGGCGGUAAUACGUAGGGGGCGUGCGUUGUCCGGAAUUAUUGGGCGUAAAGGGUUCGCAGGCGGUCUUUUAAGUCAGAUGUUAAAUGCAUAGGCUUAACCUAUGAGUGAAUUUGACACUGGAAAACUUGAGUUAAGGAGAGGAAAGUGGAAUUACUAGUGUAGAGGUGAAAUGCGUAGAUAAUAGGAGGAAUACCAGUGGCGAAGGCGACUUUCUGGACUUUUACUGACGCUGAGAACCGAAAGCAUGGGGAACAAAC
rnacentral:rRNA from 1 species